rnacentral:tmRNA from 1 species
GGGCUUGUAACGGGUAUCGAUUGGGUUAUGAUAGCUAUAAUCUCGCACGACCGACAUCGUUAAGUCACCUUUAAAUAUAAACGCAAAUAAUUACGCUAUGGCUGCCUAAGCCUAUUAGGUUCCAAAAGAGGUGUAGAGUAAUCUGUCUUCUGUAAACCUUGAGGAUUGAAAACUGAAACAGUUGAGUGCGGCGGACACGGCAGUGCGCAUAAACCGCCAUUGUUAUAAGUUGACUGUCUUAAAGUCUAUUGCGUAAAAAGGUUGUAGAAUAGUAGUUCAAGACGGCGGUUCGACUCCGCCCAGGUCCACAG